rnacentral:rRNA from 1 species
CAGAAGCGAGGGUGGCCUAAUUGCAACAUGUGCCCCCUGUGUAAGCAAGUUCAGGAAUCGGCGGCCCAUCUACUUUUAAAAUGCCGCUACACGGUGAGAGUAUGGAACAUGAUUAAAGUGUGGCUUGGCCUUCAUGACAUUUACCCGCAGAACUGGGCCAUGGUUGACAUGGUGAAUAAUUGGUGCAGCGCCAAUGCCUCCAACACGACGCAAUCUUGACGACCGCUUACCUGCCUUAUGCUGCUCGUCUCAUGGGAAAUCUGGAAAGAGCGGAAUGCUAGGGUAUUUCGUAAUGUCGCAGUGCCUGUUGGGGUUUUAGUAUCUAGAAUCAAAGACGAGGCGGCGCUAUGGUGUCUGGCCGGUGCGAAACAUUUGUGUAAUAUCAUGCCGCGAGAGUGA